GGCGAGGGUGGCCGCCUCCCCACGUCACCAGGACCAGCUUACAACCGGCCGCUUCAAAGUGUCGAAGCGCAAAUCUGGUGCCGUGCCCGGCACCGACACCGUGCGGCGCGUCUCGCUUAAGAGCGGGGCUGUUCCAGCCCAAAAGCCAAGUAUCAACCGGCUUAGCGAGCGCCUCGUUGAGGACUUAUGCCGCCGCUACCGAAACCCGCGGCGUGUGGGUGGCGUUGUUGUGCCGCGCUGGAGGAUGGUGUUGGGGCCACCUGGCCGAGCUCCGAGAAGCCCUCCUGCGGCAUCCAGCGGUAGAAGCCCACACGGGCAUCGUGCUCGCACAUCUGAACCAGCACACGCUGACGUCGUGGUACAACGCCCGGGCGAAAGCCCUGGAGCGCAUCUCGCUGCUGCAGGGGGUGCAGCUGCCGCCUGCUCGGCCUGUUGCCGCCGCAGCCCUACCGGCUCCCGCCCCGCCGCUGGAGCUGCGGGUGGUAAACGUCUAUCGGCCCGGCGCACCGGUUUAGCUUGCCCGCAAUAACAGUUGGGCGGGGAGGACCGCGUCGCCCGGCCACUUCUCACCAGCAGUCACCAUCACCGGGCCCGACGCCGGCCAAGCGUGCCCAUAUUAGAAGGAGCACAGUAAAUAAAUGUUCUCAGUGCGGGGCCCAAUUCUCCCGCGACACCGGACAUAGGCGGGUGGGAAAGGGCCCCGCAAAAAACAAAAUUUACUGUCCAGCGGCGAACCGUAAUAGGUCCUACGACCAGUGGUUUCAACCAGUUGUAGUUAUUUUUUUAGACUCUUCUGUUUUCUU